AUUGAACGCUGGCGGCAGGCCUAACACAUGCAAGUCGAGCGAGCGGCGGACGGGUGAGUAAUGUAUGGGGACUGCCCGAUAGAGGGGGCUAACUACUGGAACCGGUGGCUAAUACCGCAUACUAUCGGAUAACCCAUAUGGGAUUAGCUAGUAGGUAAGGUAAUGGCUCACCUAGUCGACGAGCCCUAGCUGGUCUGAGAGGAUGAUCAGCCACACUGGGACUUAGACACGGCCGAGACUCCGACGGAGGCAGCAGUGGGGAAUAUUGCACCAUGGGCGCAAGCCUGAUGCAGCCAUGCCGCGUGUAUGAAGAAGGCCCUAGGGUUGUAAAGGACUUUCAGUCGGGAGGCGUUUGCGACAGAAGAAGCACCGGCUAACUCCGUGCCAGCAGCCGCGGUAAUUC
rnacentral:rRNA from 1 species